GAGCGCCUGAUCUCUCACAUGAUAAAACAUUAAAUUAACCCUCGGCCCCUCAGAGUCAGAGUCCCGGACGAGAGUGAGAGCAGAUCUGAGAAAAUGAGGGAUGAGAAACAGAGAGGUGGUCUGGAAACCCUAACAAUGGCAUUGGCUCUGUGAUCGGAGCCUUCGUUGGAGAUCAGAGACAUGAGCGUGAAGAAAGAGAGAGACGACGGGGCAUGAAGAAAAGCUCCUCCAAUGCGAUUCUUGUUUUGCGAGGUUUAACGCCUCGAUGGCCGCCAUUGAUCCACGAUCGGAUCCGUUCAAGAGCUCACUGUUGAAAUCGUGUAGUAAUUAACACCAAGACCAGAGAUCUGAUGGGGCUAGGUACAUUCCCUGUCAGCUUGCUCAAGAUGCGAUAGAGUGCGAUGUGGAUUGAUAGGCACUGACAGCGGGCCUUCCCUUAUCUUUAAGGAUAUCUAAAACCAGAGGCUACCAGGAUUUCGCCUCAAAUGUCCGUUUUGUUUUUUUGAGUGCGGCGGAUUGUAGUUAUUACUUGUAUUGUAUACAUGGUUUUCUUUUUCUUUUGAUA